rnacentral:rRNA from 1 species
UACGAAGGGGGCUAGCGUUGCUCGGAAUCACUGGGCGUAAAGCGCACGUAGGCGGAUUGCUAAGUCAGGGGUGAAAUCCUGGAGCUCAACUCCAGAACUGCCUUUGAUACUGGCGACCUUGAGUCCGGGAGAGGUGAGUGGAACUGCGAGUGUAGAGGUGAAAUUCGUAGAUAUUCGGAAGAACACCAGUGGCGAAGGCGACUGACUGGACAAGUAUUGACGCUGAGGUGCGAAAGCGUGGGGAGCAAACAGG